GUGCAUUCUUAAACUGUCUUGGUAGCAUCCUGUGCUUCGAAGAUAUGAGUGAAUGAUAUAGAAAUUUCCAGGGAGUCCAAAGGGCUGUGCUUCUCCUAUGACAAUUCCCAAAUAUGCUAUUGAUUU